AAAAGUUUGUUUCUUUUUGGCAUAGAAUUCUAUUUCGCAUUUGUGCUUAUAUAAAAGAUAAUUUUUCUUUUCCCUUCGAUUGGCAUUCCAAAUGUAUUUGUGUCAAUCUCCUCAUUGCAUGAAGCAUUCACCCCUUUCCCUCCUCUAAAAGAAAAAGAAAACCAUAAAAUUUAUCAUUAGAUUUGCUAUAGCACAGGAUAAGAGAGCUACUAUAGGAUUUUAUUUGAUGAGUGGAAAGAACUAGAUUUUCUUUUCCAUGGAGAACAUUUGGAAAGCCCAUGUUCCCUUUGAUGUUUAACUUAUUGCUUAAAAAGCAUCUUUAUGCGUAUGCUAACGACACAAAAUUUGAUGGGAACCGGGAAGGGGAAAAAAUUGUAUUAGCUGGUCAUCUGUAAAAAUGAUGGCAAAUGUUUAACUAUCUUUUGCACAAUACUCAAUUUCCUUGGCACUUUAGAGUAUGUUCUUUAUUUUGCUUUGUGUAAUCAUGCCAUAAUCUGUUAAGGAGGUGAUAGGGAAGGGCGCAGGAAGGAGGUAUGGGAAGCAGCUUCAUUGUGGCAUUAGAUUAUUGGACUAUUAAGUUUGGUAGGAAAGGUUAGGUAUUUGUGAGAAUGGUAUACAGACUCAAGUGUUGAGAUUAAAAUAAAGAUGAUGCCUUCUCAGUGUGCAUGCGUGUUUUCUGCUCUGGUUCCUUUGGAGAGUUUAUAGAUGUUCUCUAUCUCUUGUUUUCUUGUUUAUCCAUCUUCUAAACUUUUUUAUGAGCUUCUCUUUUGUACACCUGGUGUAUUUGGGUUGUUUAAACUUCUGUAUAUAGAGGUAAGCUAAUUAGCUUAUGACUUUAGUACAUUUUAACAUUUUAAAAAUAUUUUAUAUAAAGCAAAAGUAAUUUAAAAAGUUUAGAACUUAUAAUUUCCCUUUUUGCUAGGUGUUAGUGCUAAACAAUUGAAUAGUGAUUCACAUGAGAAAGCACAAAGCCCUUUUUCUUUUCAUGAAAAGAAAUUUAUUUUUUUGAAUUUCAAAGGGUAAAUUACUGAAAUCCCCUACAGUCCAGCAUAUAAUAUACACUUUCAUCCUUGUUUUGAAAUUAGUUAUAUUGGCCUCUAUGGUUUGUUAAAGGCGCUACCCUUUGGUCCCUAACAUUUUAAAUUGAGUCAAAAUUUUAGUCCUUUAGAUUUUAAAAUUUAUUGCCCUUUAGUUUUUGUACUUUAAUAUUGUAAAACACUUUUGUCAGUAAAAACUUACACUUUUUAUCAAUGAUAGUGUAGGAUUAAAAAUUGCUGUUUUGAAAUAGCAGAGAUCAAGCAAGCGUAUGCUACAACAAACUUGAGUGGCUUUUCUGUAAUUUAUCCUUCCAAAAUUCACUUUCUGUUGUUCAACCAAGCAAUGAUUUUUGCUUUCUGCCAAAAUAAUUGGUUUUUAGUAAGUGAACAAAUGAUUGCUAAGAUUGAGUAAAGGGUUUUGGAACUUAAUUUAACUAUACUAUUUGUUAAGAAUAUAUUUGUGCAGAUGUUACGCAAAUAGUAUGCUUUUCUUAGAAAAGAUGUGUGGCAAGGUACUAAUAAUUAAUUAGCUUUUUAUCAAUUUUUUUGGUUUUUAAUUUACGGAAAGAUUAGUGUGUAAUUUGAUAUUUGCUAUCGUGUUUUAAAUUAUGGAUUAAUCUUUCAAUUUUGAUCUCCUAAAUACAAAAUUGGAAUGCAAUUUAUAAAAAUUAUAUGCAUAAGUUUUACUCGGAGAAUAAAAAGCUUCUGUUAGUUAUGUUUGAUUGUAGUCUCUUUCAUUAAUUGAUUUCUCAUUUCAUUGUCAUUCGUUUAUGCUAUCAUUGAACAUAUUCCUCAAUCUUUGACCUCAACGUUGUUGCUUUUAGUAUUGGUAGUUUCUACAGUUAUUUUGUUUAAAACAAAGUUUUCACAAAAUUUUUUUUAUGAAGUUUAUGCAUGUAUCUCAUAAUUUACGUAAAGUGACAUUUUCCACAAAGUAGUUGUUUUUAAAAAGUUUAUUAGAUUAACGAAAAAUAAU
rnacentral:misc_RNA from 1 species